CACACAGUUUCUUUUUUGAGGCCCUGUAAUUGGAAUGAGUCCACUUUAAAUCCUUUAACGAGGAUCCAUUAGAGGGCAAGUCUGGUGCCAGCAGCUGCGGUAAUCCAGCUCCAA
rnacentral:ncRNA from 1 species